rnacentral:rRNA from 1 species
UACGAAGGGGGCUAGCGUUGCUCGGAAUCACUGGGCGUAAAGCGCACGUAGGCGGAUUGUUAAGUCAGGGGUGAAAUCCUGGAGCUCAACUCCAGAACUGCCUUUGAUACUGGCGAUCUUGAGUCCGGGAGAGGUGAGUGGAACUGCGAGUGUAGAGGUGAAAUUCGUAGAUAUUCGCAAGAACACCAGUGGCGAAGGCGGCUCACUGGCCCGGUACUGACGCUGAGGAGCGAAAGCGUGGGAGCGAACGAG